rnacentral:rRNA from 1 species
UACAGAGACUGCAAGCGUUAUUCGGAUUCACUGGGCGUAAAGGGUGCGCAGGCGGUUGGGUGUGUCAGAUGUGAAAUCCCGAGGCUUAACCUCGGAACUGCGUCUGAAACUACUCGACUAGAGUACUGGAGAGGGAAACGGAAUUCACGGUGUAGCAGUGAAAUGCGUAGAUAUCGAGAGGAACACCAGUGGCGAAGGCGAGUCCCUGGACGACUCCUGACACUGAGGCACGAAAGCUAGGGGAGCAAACAGG